CCAGCUCGAACGUAUUUAUUUGCAUUGCAUUCGUAGAAUAUUCUUUUCAAAAUAAAUGUUUUACAUUUGAUGUUGGACUCCAUCAUUUUGUAUCAUAUUCCCACACUCUCAUGCAACACUGAGGUUAUCUCUGCAUAUCAUUAUUCUAAUUCAGCCCAAUGUGCAAUGUCAUGCUACCUUCACAGGUCAUAAUAACUAUAAUGAUGUCAUGCUACCUUCACAGGUCAUAAUAACUAUAAUGAUGUCAUGCUACCUUCACAGGUCAUAAUAACUAUAAUGAUGUCAUGCUACCGUCACAGGUCAUAAUAACUUUAAUGACGUCAUGCUACCAUCACAGGUCAUAAUAACUAUAAUGGCGUCAUGCUACCGUCACAGGUAAUAAUAACUAUGAGGAUGUCCACACCUGAUUCAGUCUACAGCUGGAGGACACAUCCAGAGCCCAGAGAGACCUGCCCUACAUACAGACCCAAUACUAGUAGAUGGGAGCAAUGAACAUGGGAAGGGAAAAAAGAAAGGGAAGGUGCAAAGGGAUGGGUGCAGCACGAGGGAGCAGGAAGAACACAGGAGGGAACACACACUCCUCAACAGAGACAUCACAUGAACACACACUCCUCAACAGAGACAUCACAUGAACACACACUCCUCAACAGAGACAUCACAUGAACACACACUCCUCAACAGAGACAUCACAUGAACACACACUCCUCAACAGAGACAUCACAUGAACACACACUCCUCAACAUCACAUGAACACACACUCCUCAACAGAGACAUCACAUGAACACACACUCCUCAACAGAGACAUCACAUGAACACACACUCCUCAACAGAGACAUCACAUGAACACACACUCCUCAACAGAGACAUCACAUGAACACACACUCCUCAACAUCACAUGAACACACACUCCUCAACAGAGACAUCACAUGAACACACACUCCUCAACAUCAUAUGAACACACACUCCUCAACAGAGACAUCACAUGAACACACACUCCUCAACAUCACAUGAACACACACACACUCUUCAACAGAGACAUCACAUGAACACACACUCCUCAACAGAGACAUCACAUGAACACACACUCCUCAACAUCACAUGAACACACACUCCUCAACAGAGACAUCACAUGAACACACACUCCUCAACAGAGACAUCACAUUGCACUAAUCUUUUCAUUCAUAUUUCCUCACAGUACCUGACUGAUACUGUCCAAGUACAGCUAGGGACUUCUGUUUGAUCUACAUGUUACUUAACAUUAACGUAUUUUCAUGUAAAGGUAUAUUCUCUCAUAAAAUCAACAUACUGGCUGGAUAUCAGCUUUGAGGUUCUCACCCAUGCCAGAACAUUUUGGUCUUGUUUACCUCUAUGUUGUUGGCAAGCGUUAUAGGGUUCUUAUGUUGGAAAACAGUGCAGUGUGUUUUUUCCCCUGAUGCAGCAUUUUAGAAACGGUGUAGAGCAGCCAGCGUGAGUGAGUGCGGUGGCUAAUCCCGGCGUGGUGUUCAGCACUGACCUGCCGUGAUUAGGAUGGGUACCUCUGAGGGACACACAGAGUGGCUAACAGGGCGGAUGCAGCAGACGUGUGUGGCCAAACAUGGUAGAUCACAAUAGAACCGCAGAACAUUCUGCAUUUCUGGGUUAGUUCUUACUGGACUGUUCUUGGCCUUUGUGUUUGGUAUUUGUUUAGUUGUUGGCAACAUUUUACAACAUGAGAGAUUGACACUAAACCCCAUUUAUAAAUUAAUAAAUUAGGUCGAUGUGAUGAAAAUGGUCAUUUCAAAGAUGAAAUUAAGCUUCCAUUUACAACAAGUUCAGUCAGCUCCAACCCAGAAAAGCCUACAGGGGUUUAAAGACAAUACAUGAGUAAUAUGGUUCUGAUGACCAUUUGAUUACUUAAUGAGUAUGAAGAUCAUUCUGCAUUACUGAGCUUUGUACCUCAUAGUCUUCAAUAUCAUACUUGGAUAGAAAAAAUGCUAGAAAAAUUCAAAUGUUAAUGCAAAUACAUUAUGGACACUUACUUUUCCCAUUGACCUCAACCUCUCUCCUCACUAAUGGGUCAGGGAAAAAAUAGACAACAAAUCUGCAACUAACGGAGGUCUGUAAAUUGGGUUGCAUACUAACUGAGGUCUGUACAUCGGAUUGCAUACUAACUGAGGUCUGUACAUUGGCUUGCAUACUAACUGAGUUUUUUGGAGCCUGUGAUUUUCAUUAGCAUUAUGAACACUGUUAAUGUAUAACCUUCAGCCUAAGAGGUUCUUUCCCUCUUCUCACAUCCGGGAGUGCUGAAAAUCUUAAGUAUUCAUGGAUUUUAAUUGCUAGGAUAAUAGUUUUGAACACAGACAACAGAUGUGGUAGAAUUCUCCUUUCUCUAUCAAUAUAAUGUUAUAAAUAAUUAAAUGAAUAGUCUCUGUGUAAUGGAGUUUAACAGUGACUGUCUUUAUGAAGACAAAAAUAAGAUUGAAAACAUCUGACAGUGAAAAUUGCAUAGUCAAAAGACCAAGGCUCUAGUAUUAACCACCAAUUCAAAUACAUUUUUAUUUUCUGAACUGCCACUUGUCAGCCGCCAGGUCAUGGGCAGAUUUACGUAUGACACUUAAGCAGUCCAAGAAUUAUUGUCUAGCUAAAAAGAACGAUAAGCCACAUCAUUCAAAGACUCAAAGCCGAAGAAAGAGACAACAACAGUGUCACUCUCUGUCUAGACGUUCAGACUAAAGGCUCACUAUUUGACCCAAAGCAGCUAUGACCGCCACCACCUAGAUAGAAAUAGGGUGAACAGUCUCAUGGUGUAUGCCACAUAAUGGUUCUAAUAAAAUAUGCAUGACAAUAUAAUACAAACAGUUUGUUGUUGUGUGGAGAAAACUAUCCCCAUGUGCAAGAAAUGAGAGAUGGUCUAUGUCAAAUAGAUUAUGUUCAACACAACAGAGAGUAUGUACAGAAAUAGGAAUUAUGCUAAAAGAGGGAGAAUGAUACGUAAGCUCCAUUCAAGUAACUUGCAACACACUGAUAUAAGUUACACAUAAAAUAAUUAUCACCAAUAUCUGACCAGACUUCACAUGUCUAAAAUAAGGGCUAUAAAUCAAACCAUUGAUUAUUUAAACAGAAGUUAUAGAGCCAUUAUAGUCACUACAGCAUCAUUAUCAGUCUCACCCACACACCCAAGGCAAAUACACAAAUACUGGGCUAAAGCCUUGGAGAGACACUAUUUCAUCACCAUAGUGACAGUAGGGAGGAAGUACACAGAUGGUCAAAACACCUGCUGUUAAUGAAUAAGAUGAAAAACAUGGCCACUCCCAUGACAGUGCAUCAAACUAUGCUGGGUCUGACUGGGAAAAUGUACACUUGAGUGUAUACCAUAAUGAUUUUUAAACGGUAUGUCUCCAUGAGAUUUAUCAGUCAAUACAGACUUAAUGCAUGACCUUUUCAAGCCUGCGUAAUCCUUCAAAUAUGAUGCCUGGCAAUCCAAGCAUGUGAAACUACAUGGUUCAGCACUACUUGUUCUGUGAGGUAAAAUAAAUGUCAAAAAUAUAAACAUGUCAAAGAGGAUGUGUGAUAGUAUCUUUAACAGUAGUAUUAUCAACACCCUAAGACACUUUGCUCUGAGGAUAUAUCAUUUCAAAUAAUAAUAUUCCACUGAAACAGGGAGGGUCACUGAAAUGGGGUUUCUCACUAAUUCCAUGUUCCCGGGGCGACACAGAUACCAUCCUUCCCCUUUUGACCAAACCCAGGAGGAACUUUUUUUCUGUCUUUGUUCCCAACACUUGAAUGGAUUGCCUCUAAUUCAUCUCAGCAUGAGAAAUAGCAUUGGAAGGCUCAGGAAACAGGCUUUGUGGGAUUAAAACAAACCAAGACUGGCAGGGUUACAAAGCUUGACAUGGGGGCAUAUUGCCUCAGGUCACAAGGGUUUUUAACAUGUCAUAGGGACAAUGCUGAACCCUAUAAUACAAGUGAAAUGAUACACUGUUGUGCAGACACAGUGCAUGACAUAUGCCACAACGCUCACAGAAUGAAUUUGAAUUUGGCUUUACUAUAUUCCUUGAAUUGAGAAACUAACCAUUCAGUCUGAAAUGGUCCAGUCUGUUACCAAAACACAGAUAGUAGCAUAACAGUCCCUUUAAUCCAGUACUC
ensembl:lncRNA